rnacentral:lncRNA from 1 species
UUAGGUCAAAGCAUGUCAUAUGGAACCUCAAAGAAGUCAACAGAAUGAUUCAACUCAAAACCAAUCACAAACAUUUCAAUAAAUCCUCAAAUAAUUCAUGAUCAAACAUCAUCCAUAACAUGAUAAGCAUACCAAAUUUCAGCUUAUUUGGAUCAAGGGAAGUAGGUCAAUGAAAAUCAGAAAGUCAAAGCAAGUUCAAGCAAACUCAUACAAAGCAUCAAAACAUGCACCAACUUCAAUUAAUCAUAAAA